rnacentral:rRNA from 1 species
AUUGAACGCUGGCGGCAGGCCUAACACAUGCAAGUCGAGCGGAUGAAGGGAGCUUGCUCCUGGAUUCAGCGGCGGACGGGUGAGUAAUGCCUAGGAAUCUGCCUGGUAGUGGGGGAUAACGUCCGGAAACGGGCGCUAAUACCGCAUACGUCCUGAGGGAGAAAGUGGGGGAUCUUCGUACCUCACGCUAUCAGAUGAGCCUAGGUCGGAUUAGCUAGUUGGUGGGGUAAAGGCCUACCAAGGCGACGAUCCGUAACUGGUCUGAGAGGAUGAUCAGUCACACUGGAACUGAGACACGGUCCAGACUCCUACGGGAGGCAGCAGUGGGGAAUAUUGGACAAUGGGCGAAAGCCUGAUCCAGCCAGGCCGCGUGUGUGAAGAAGGUCUUCGGAUUGUAAAGCACUUUAAGUUGGGAGGAAGGGCAGUAAGUUAAUACCUUGCUGUUUUGACGUUACCAACAGAAUAAGCACCGGCUAACUUCGUG